GAUGAACGCUGGCGGCAUGCCUAAUACAUGCAAGUCGAACGAGAGGAAGGAAAGCUUGCUUUCCUGAAUCUAGUGGCGAACGGGUGAGUAACACGUAGGUAACCUGCCCAUGUGCCCGGGAUAACUUCUGGAAACGGAUGCUAAAACCGGAUAGGUAGCAGACAAGCAUUUGACUGCUAUUAAAGUGGCCUUGGCCAUGAACAUGGAUGGACCUGCGGUGCAUUAGCUGGUUGGUGAGGUAACGGCCCACCAAGGCGACGAUGCAUUGCCGGCCGGAGAGGGCGGACGGCCACAUUGGGACUGAGACACGGACCAAACUCCUACGGGAGGCAGCAGUAGGGAAUUUUCGUCAAUGGGGGGAACCCUGAACGAGCAAUGCCGCGUGAGUGAGGAAGGGCUUCGGAUCGUAAAGCUCUGUUGUAAGAGAAAAACGGCACUCAUAGGGAAUGAUGAGUGAGUGAUGGUAUCUUACCAGAAAGUCACGGCUAACUACGUGCCAGCAGCCGCGGUAAAAC
rnacentral:rRNA from 1 species